rnacentral:rRNA from 1 species
UACGGAGGGUGCGAGCGUUGUCCGGAAUCAUUGGGCGUAAAGGGCGCGUAGGUGGCCUGCUAAGCGUGCGGUGAAAGUCGGGGGCUCAACCCCCGAUCGGCCGUGCGAACUGGGAGGCUUGAGCACUGUAGAGGCAGGCGGAAUUCCGGGUGUAGCGGUGGAAUGCGUAGAGCUCCGGAGGAACACCAGUGGCGAAGGCGGCCGCCUGGGCCAGUCCUGACGCUGAGCCGCGAAAGCGUGGGGAGCGAUCCGG